GCUCCGCACGCGUAAGUUAUUCACGAGGAGCAAAGAUCGUGCCGUGAAAUAUAUUGAAUGUAUAUAUUCCAUUAUUGAAUGUAUAUAUACAUUAUUUUGUGUACAUAUAAAAUUAUAAAACGUGUGGUGAUAUUUCUCAAUAAAAUUACAUAUGGAUUUCAAUAGAUGAAAAGACAGAAAAAAAUUGAACGAUGUAUAACAAAUCUAAUUGUUGGAAAAAAAUGUGGGAAUAACGAAACAAUAGUAACAACGUUUAUUUUCGAGCAAGGAAUUAAACGAAAGAAAUUAUAAUGAAACGAAGUCUGGAACAUCCAACAUCGACGUAAAAGAAGAUAAAAAGGAUAUUUCGAUUAGAGUGGGGAGUUAGAAUGCGUCGUUAAAAUGGAAAAUAAUUUGGCAAUGAUGCAAAAAUUUAUUGUUUAUCAUCUUCAUCAUCUUAUUCCAAUAUAGCUGAAAGAUCCUAUCUUUGGUAAGUUCAUAUAUAUAAUUAUUAAAUGUUUCAACUAAUAAAACGUCCAAAAUAUAUUUGUAAAAUGUCAUAUGUGAACGUGAGGUAAAAAAUAUAUCUCUUUGUAAAAUUACAUAUUAGAAAAUAUGAAAUGAAUGUUAGAUCAUUAAAUACGUAUAUAUUUAGAUGAUGAUAAUAUCGUAAAAAGGAUUAACUGAUAUAAAACGAGCUUAUCAAAGUUCGUCAAGCAAAGUAUAAUUAAUCCUUGAUCAUAUGUAAGAGUUAAUCUAAGAAGAUAACGGGUAUAAACUGUAUAAUUUUAUCGUAUUCAUAUUUUAAUAUAUAAAAAAAGAAAUCAGAUUAGAUCCCUUUUAUCGUAAAAAUAAGUGAAUCUGUUUUUCUUUUCUUCAUUGAUAAAAUAUAAUGAUCGAUAAAGAACAAAAGUAUGAACAUUUUUAAAUAAUAUCACGAGCAUUUGCAAAAUAAUACAAUUUAAAUAAUUGUCUGGUUCUAAUAUAUCAUUCGAAACGUACAAAUAAACGAUCAUUAAAGUAAUCUCGAGUCGCGUAAAUUCGCUAAGCAUGAUCCAACGAUGAAUCUCUUCAAUUGUAUGACAUUAACGGAUAUCACGAAAGAACAUUCAUACUAUGGAAUAUAAUUCUCUUAAAUUGUCAAGAAGAAGAAAAAUAUUUGAAAAAUAUGUGUUUGCGCGUAUGUAUAUACAUAUAUGUAUAUUCUCGAAGAAUAAGAAAGAGAUAAACGUGGAAGUUUAUUAUCAAUCCAAUUUCUUUCGAACAUAGAAAUCGAACGAGUGCGAAGUGCAAGUUAGUCUCGCAUGUUCCUAUUUUCGAGGAAAACUACGGAACGACGUCGCUUGACGCAAAUGGCGCCUAGUAAGAGACAGCUAGCGAAUAAGCGAGUGAACAAGUGAGUGAGAAAGAGAGAGAAAGAGAAAAAGGAAAGUAUAAAAACGAAAAUACGUCACGAAAGUUUUAUUGAAUCGAUCUUAUUCCUUUGUAUUCUUAUUUACGAGGUAUUAGAAAUUUAUAUUAGAAAUUUAUAUUCAGAGAGAGAGAGAGAGAGAGAGAGAGAGAGAGAGAGAGAGAGAGAGAGGGAGGGAGGGAGAGAGAAAGACGAAACAAGAAAAUUCGAUUUACAAGAAUGAUUCAUUGAAUCGAUUUAAAGGAAUCUGUGAAUCUAUGGAUGAAGAUGACUUGCGAAGACGCAAACAGAUCAUAAAUUUUUACCUCAACCAUAAAUUUGUGAUAAUUAUAACGGUUACGUAAUCCACGAGGCGUCCCUUGCUAGUAAUAAUUUUAAAACCCCACAUACUACACGAUACGUGUAUGUAUGUAGAUAUGUAUAAAUGUGUCUAUCUAUAUAUGUCGAGUAUGUAUGAUGACGAGUAGAUAGAAUGAAUUAAUUUAUAUCGUUACAGUCCCGUGUUAGAAAGAGAAAAAAAAAGAAGAGAGAUAUACAAGAGAGAGAUAUAUAUAUACAUAUACAUAUAGAAACGUUAAAAGAUAAUAAUCGGAUGAUUUAAAUCGUGUAUCGAACGAACAAAAGAGAAAACUUCACGAUAUAAUUCUUCUUUAGAAUAACUAUAAAUCAUAAAAGCAUGCUAAACGUUCUAUUUUACAAUGAUAAGAUCAUAAUUAAUAUUUCUAACUUCUAUUUUUAAAUUUCUCGCCUUGACAAACAACAGCGAUUUUUUUUAUCAAAAAUUCACAGUUGUAUAUAUAUAUUUUUUAAUCAAUUUCUUGAUUUUACAGACGUCAUCAUAAUAAAAAUAUUCAAAAUUUAUUAUUGAAAUAUAUUCAUUGGAUUUUAUACUACCAACUUUAUCAAUUCGAGUUCAACGGAUGUGACACCAUAUACUCGUAUUAUAUAUAUAUAUACCUCUUACAACCAAGUAAAACCACGAAUCAUACAGGGUGGCCUAAAAGUUUCUAGAUUAUAAAAUUACAAGUCUAGAAAUCUGCAACUUUGACAUAUCCGGUAACAAAAAAGUAACGAAACAUAAUAAGGAUGAACAAUAAAGGAAAAUACAAUGGUAGAAUAUAAAACAAGAGACAUGCAGGACUUCUUUCUUAAAAUGCUGAUAUCGAACUUACCAAGCAAUUUUGAUCGAAAUCGAGAUUAACAAUAAGUGAAAGUUAAAAAGGCUGAGAGUUAUAAUAUGCAAGGUCACGUGAUACCUACGCAUGUAAUAUGCAAUCAACAAAGCAAAGAAAUUCUAUAUAUAAUAUUGAAGCUAGAAAAACAAAAUAAUGAAAAAUAGGAGAAAAGUGAUAUAGAGGAAGCGAUAUAAAUAACUAAGAAUAAGACCUCGCCAUACCUUGUUAAAGCACUGGGUAAUUCUACCUUGACAGGUAACCUUAACUUAUGCAUUUUACGCAUACGUAUAUCUGCACAUUAUAACAUUUUAGUUCUCAUUAUUCGAUACGUGCUAAUAAAAUGCGUGCGAAACAUAAGUACGAUAGAACGAUGAGAGAAAAAACAUAACCAAAAAAAAAAGAGAAUAAUAGACUCUGUAAAGAACACACGAUGAUGUCACGGUAAAGAAAUGUACGAACAAGCACAUUACCAAACAACACUAACCAACUAUAUACACGAAGGAGGGGAGGAAGUGUUCAAAAGAAUUAUUUUACAUGGACACUGAGACGAUAUACGACCCUUCCGUCGAUCGCGAUCUUCGAAGACUGCUGCAAAACUAGAUCUACGGCGCAAACUCAUAACACGAUCGGCCCUGUCAUUUCGACGACCGGUUUUGUUGAACGUUUUUACUCGCAACAACCACCACGUCACGCGCACUAUCCACACUCAUGACUCGUACGACGUGCACUGUCUCCUCUUCGAACGAACUGACUGUAAAUAUAAAUAUAAAGAUGGCGUCGACUGACCGAGCUCAAAUCCGGGAUUAGGUUAGAUCGCAACGUUCGCCAGAGAAUGGACAUUCGAUUGGUCGUACUCUCGUUUGAACGAUACGACACCAAUCUACGUUCUUGUCACUGAUACUACUACAAUUUCGCAUGAUAAUAGACUUUAAACUCCCUCCAUAACCUAUUGCUAUUGAUACAAACGAGCAAGCGAGCAAGAGAAGGAGUGAGAGAGAAAGAAAAAGGGGGAACAAAAGAGUAAGAGAGAAGAAAAGAAUAAAUAGUCAGUAAGAAAGGGAAAGAUAAAAUAGAACGAACAUAUAAAUAAACAAGAUAAGAGAUCAUAAAUAGAAGAAAUCAAACGAUAUGUAUUUUAACUCGGAUCUGGAUUUUCUUAUUUUAGAAUGUUCAGAAAAGAAUUCACUUUUUUUUACCGACCGUCGUUAAAAUCAUUUUAUUAACGAUCUUAUGGCGGGACAUUCAAAUGACAUAGAAAAAUAUCGAGUUUUUUAAAAAAUGACAUGACAAAUUUCUUACAAUGAUUAUUAUUAUAUUAUAUAUAUUUGUUUCACACAGUAAUCUGAAAAAAAUUGUUAAAAAUAAUUCGCUUGACAAUACGAAUUUCGUUGCGAAAUAUGGGUGACUCAUAGGAAUGUAAAAAGAAAGAAAGAAACAUCUAUACCAUAUGCAUCAUGCAUCGUUGUCACGAAUUCGUAAUCAUUAUAGCAAAUUUUAAUAGAAAUCAUACUAAUUGCGAAAUAGUAAUAUAAUAACUCGAUGAAACGAUCGAAUAAGUUCUCUCACCUGAGCAAGGCUUUCCUCCAGCAGUAAUCCGUUUCGAUUACGAGCAACUGUAAUUUCAUCAUAUACGUCGACGUUGCCCACGGCAUAUAAAAUUUCCUCGUACGCAGUCGAACGAUACACCCACGGGCACGAUGAAAAAAUUUUUUUUAAUCACUCGAGCCUCGCACACGUUUAGAUUUCUUCCAGUUUAAGGGCCGACCUAAUUCACGAGAUGAUCGGUGAUCGAUCAUAUGGAAACAUACGGAGGACUUGUUCGUAAACAAUCCACAAUUUUUUUUACUAUAUAGAGUAAUCGUAUGCGAAUUUCUUCGUUUCUUCUUUUCUCUUUUUUUUUUCUUCCUUUUUUUCUUUUUGAUAGUGUAAUUUCUACGAAAAAAUCGUCUUUCACCAAUAUUAGUUACUAUCACGAUACGUUCACCGAAUACCACGACAUAGUUGUCGAGUGUUCGUUAAUGGAUUCGCUAUGUAACACUUUUCCAGGUUCGUCGACGACGUAAUUCCCUCGAGGAAACCUUCUGCCACGUUCGCAUUGCGUCUGGUUGCAACGGAACUCUAGCAACGUUGUUAAAAGGGGUGGCGAAGCUUUCACAGAAUUCCUACUGUGAAGCUAGAAGAGAACUUCGACACCCCCGUAAACUACAAGCUUUUAAAAGCGCACGCGCUCUCUCAUGGAUUGCGGCUUUCUUGCAAAUUGUUGGACACCACUGACGUCAUACAAUGAACGAUUCAUCCGAAUAAUUUCUAUAGUUUAUGAUAUAUGUAUAUCGAACGUUCUACUCUAUUCUCCAAGUACAAUUGCAUUUUAAUCGUGAAAUAUUGAUCUUUAAAUAUAGAUUGUAAAAAAUUGGUAUAAAAAAGCGAUAAGUA